rnacentral:ncRNA from 1 species
GCAUGGCUCUCCAUGACUCAGCCAUGUACAGCAUUAAUAAGGAGGAGUUUAACAUUCCCUGUGACUCGGGGUGCGGCAGUGUGGAGACCUGUCGUAAUGCGGGUGGCUAUGCCCCUGCGAGGCCGAUGCGGGCGGAGGCCCGGCGGUCGGAGUCGGCAGUAUGGCA